rnacentral:rRNA from 1 species
UACGUAGGGUGCGAGCGUUACUCGGAAUUACUGGGCGUAAAGCGUGCGCAGGCGGUUUUGUAAGUCCGCUGUGAAAUCCCCGGGCUUAACCUGGGAACUGCGUUUGAAACUACAAGGCUAGAGUGUAGCAGAGGGGGGUGGAAUUCCACGUGUAGCAGUGAAAUGCGUAGAGAUGUGGAGGAACACCGAUGGCGAAGGCAGCCCCCUGGGUUAACACUGACGCUCAGGCACGAAAGCGUGGGGAGCAAACAGG